rnacentral:lncRNA from 1 species
AAAAAAAAAAAAAAAGUUUAUUGUAUAUGGAAGUCAAUAGAUAUCUUUUACAAAAAAGUUAGAAUAAAGAUCUCACAUUUGUAAAGGCACAUAUGAAACAUUUUACAGCAAUGACAAGGAUGGUGAAAACAUAAACAAUACGCAACUAGGACCGUUAUCUAAAGACUUUAUAAAAACAGAAGAAACAGUGCAAAAAAUACUGUCAAAAGUCAGUUUUACACACCUCAUAACUGUGUAUAAAACUGGCAAGCAUAAGCUUAUUUACUGAUAUAAAAAAGCACAUAGAAUAGCAUGCAUAGUUUUAUUUAAGGCUUUUAAUAUUAUUAAAUUGAGAGGGAGGCUAUACCAAAUUAAAGUUGCCAUGAAUAUUAAUCACCCCCUGACAUAGGGAAUGUCCUAUAGACCUCUCACUCCCUCUCUCGCCUGACAACCACUGUUUGUAGCAAAGAGAACGGACUUGCACCUUGCAGGGUAGCAAGUGGCUACCCACGGGGAGGACAAGGGUUGUCAGGAUCCCCAGUCCCGACCUGGAAUGCGUGUCUCACGGCAACACCACCCGAGGCGGUUACAUUUCCAGGUCAGCUCACGACAGCCAACCACACACUGGGCUGCCCACCCUGCGUUUCAGCUCUGUCCGAGUCCAAAGGCUUCCGUGGGCUGACCCAAGGGCCUUAAGAACAGCCUGGCGUCUAAGCUGGGGACUCGUCCCGACGUUGUUUCAAUAGGAAAUCUACGAAAUGCCAAUUGUUUCGAAUGAGAUCGCGAUUCACAACAUCUUGUAAAACACAGACAAGGAAAGCAUCAAAAUACUGAGUUAAGUAACCCGACAAGCAGUCCAGUGAAACAAACCACAUUGGCCUGUUACUUGAUGUAAGGAGAAUCACACAAGGUUAUAUGUUUAAAUAGUCAUCUGCAUAUGUAAACUGUUCUCGUUUUCCCAUUUGAGAAUCCUCAAGUCAGUUGGCUAUGGAAGGAACGACACACACAGGAAAUCAUCUCCGAUGAAGAGUAACCUUGCUUUUAAAAUGGUUAAUAGAUUUUUAAGACCCCAGACUGGCAAGAGAGUUUAGCCAAAGGAAAUGGCAGUAACAUUCUACGAUGUUCACAUUGAAAACCAAAACAAAACAAAAAACACAAAGGCUCUGAAUUACAGCUCUGGGUUCCCCGGGGAAGGUAGUUCUUAGCUAACACUGCAGUUGAGGGAGGUGGGAGGCCCUGGGCAACGUGCAGACGCCCCUGCUGAGAGCUACCCCGACUCACUCCAGGCAGCAUUCCUGAGAUGGGGGCGAAAACAGCUCCACCCCAAGGACCAGAAGACCCGACCCAAGACCCGACCCGACCUUCCCGCUCGCUCCUGGGACCCCCUGGGACCCUGCGGUCAGGGGAGCAGGUGUCCGCGUCUCCCUGAGGGCGGCUGGGGGAGAAACGGCAGGAUCAGGUGCACGUGAUGAGCGUGUCCUGCCCCUCCCCGGACACCUGCCACCCAUCCCACCCACGGCGCCGGGCAGGCCCAGUCCGAGGGGAGAGGCCAGGCCCAGUCCAUGAGGAGAGGCUGAGGCCCAGUCAGAGGGGAGAGGCUGAGGCCCAGUCCGAGGGGAGAGGCCAGGCCCAGUCCAUGAGGAGAGGCCGAGGCCCGUCCGAGGGGAGAGGCCGAGGCCCAGUGCGAGGGGAGAGGCCAGGCCCAGUCCAUGAGGAGCGGCCAGGCCCAGUCCGAGGGGAGAGGCUGCACCAAGGGAGCUGGUCAGGAGGAGUCAGGUGCCGCGCGCACCUGACCACACGGGCCACCGACCACCGCAGCCGCUGGGACCGCGUGCAGGUCCCCCUAGAGGGAAACAAAGUACCUCUGCUACCCGCGCUGCUUCGGCCGGGGCUGCUCAUCGACUCCAUCUGCUCUCACGUCCCCCAGCAGCGAGGAGCGGCCACGACCCCGACCAAGGCGGGGAGAGAGGGGCAAAGGGCAGCGCGUGGUUGCUGGCAACUUUGCAGCUGUUUUCCAUUCUUUCUGGCCCUUUCCAUUUGCCAGAUCUUGAUCCUUCAAACUCUAUGAGCUUUUUAGAAUUAAAAUUCGAUUUUAAUCGAAUUCGAAUUAAAUCGAUUAAAAUUCGAUUUCCUAACCGUGUAAUUUAGGCCGGCCUAGGAGAGCGCUUCUGCCGAGCAGGGGAAGGGGAGGGGAGGGGAGGGAAGGCAGAGGGGAGAGCGGACCGACCGCGAGGCGGUGGGGGGAGCAGAGCCCUGAGCCGGGAGGUGCUCCUGGCCCCAGGAUGGUGCCUUCCCAGGACAGUCCCGCCCAGGGGGCCGAGGAACAAGUGCGGUCGGGGGGACGGGGACCCUGGAGCGUGAGUGUGCGCCCCGGGCUCGCAGGGAGCAGAGAUGCCAUCCCCGGGGGCCAGGCGGUGGGCAGGGCCCUCUGCCAGGAAGGCCGGUGAGCGGGCACCCAGGCUCACACCCGAAUCCUGGAGCUUCCCCAGCUCUCCCAGGGCCCUGAGGGCCGUUUAAAAGCACGAGCAAGGGUGAAACCGAUUGGGACCCUGCAGGGUGAAACCGAUUGGGACCCUGCAGCCGGGCCCUCCGAGGGGUGCUGCAGCACACUACCCCUCUGGCCUCGUUUAUGACUUCUCUAAGCAAGCCUAUGGCAUCUUGGGGAAACGAAUGACCCUGAUGGCCCAAAGCACCGCAGAAGACACAGUGACUUUCUAUGCAGAUGCUUGUCACAGCCAGGCUGUGCAUCAGCUCUCGCCCUCCCGCCUUGUAACGAAAUGUCCUUGAAUUUAUUUUUAAAAUAGAAGGGCUGACCGAAGCUCUGAACAAUAGGAACUGAUGCACAUCCUCCCACUUCACUGCACCAAACAACAAUAAACUAUCCGGUCUCAUGCAAUCGAUUGAUGCCAGAUACUCAAUUUGCCAGGCUCUUGGACGUUUUAAUAGGGAACAUUUUAGUUUGACCUUGCAGAAGAUGCAGUUAUAUUAAGCUGGAGCUAAAGGUAGUCAACACAAUAAAAGUUGCAUAUUAGGUAAGCUGGCUGUUGGGUUUUACAGAAUUCCACGAACAACAGUGACUUUAGGGGCAACAUAUUUGGAUGGGCAGAUAUGAUUGGAUAAACCCUCAUAUCUCUCUUGUUAUUUUCCAAAGAUGUAUCCCUUAGGUCUUCUGCCCCCAAAUGUCUCAGAAGCUGAGGCAAAGACAAGAACCAUUCUAUUUUCUUGCACAGCAUCCAAGGGAAGCUUCAAACAUAAUUUAACAUUUUAGAGAUUUCCACCCUAUAGGGCCAACUAAUUUGUCAUCCAUAAGGCUGUAGGCCACUGGAAAAUUUGUGCAGUAUCCAUGGAAAACCCAAAUUUCUCCAUCUGGAAGCAGCACUGGAUGAAUUGUUACUUUGUUCAUGCAAAGAAAUCAUGAAAUAAGAGCCUGAUGGGCAUCUGGUACAUAGGAAUAAAAUUAAACAGCAGCAGAAGAGUCUUUGGUCAAAUGUGAGGAAGCUGAAUUGCCCAAAUAGGGCUGCCUAAAGAUCCCAAUAGUGAUUACUUGGUACUUCUUGAAAUCUCCUCUUCUAGGACCCCAACAGUUAUUGCCAAAAUGGAGGGGGAAUGAGGAUAGAUUAUCAGUAACGUAGGUCUGACCCAAUCCCAUCCCUUGUGUCUCAGCCCCCUUGCACAUAUCUUAGACUCCCCCACCACAAAGAGAUGAACACAUUUCCCGAAAAAGAAAGUCAACAGCUAUACCUGCUUUCACCAUCAAACCUGUCACUAGAAGUGGAGGAAUGAGAUUCAAAAAGCACAUUCUGCUUUCUGGCUGGGGACAGCUUCAGGUCCACACACCGUGUGCCAUAAGCACUGUGCUAAGGUCUGCUAAGUUAACACAAGUUGUACAUCAAAAAAAGGUGGCCACCGAAAAUCCCAUAGUGAUGUGCCUGAUGGCCAACCCUGCCUAUGAG